rnacentral:misc_RNA from 1 species
GAUGAAGAACCCAGCAAAAUGCGAUAAGUAAUGUGAAUUGCAGAAUUCAGUGAAUCAUCGAAUCUUUGAACGCACAUUGCGCCCGCCAGUAUUCUGGCGGGCAUGCCUGUUCGAGCGUCAUUUCAACCCUCAAGCACAGCUUGGUGUUGGGACUCGCGUUAAUUCGCGUUCCCCAAAUUGAUUGGCGGUCACGUCGAGCUUCCAUAGCGUAGUAGUAAAACCCUCGUUACUGGUAAUCGUCGCGGCCACGCCGUUAAACCCCAACUUCUGAAUGUUGACCUCGGAUCAGGUAGGAAUACCCGCUGAACUUAAGCAUAUCAAUAAGCGGAGGA